rfam:Microgenomates bacterium GW2011_GWF2_47_9 TY18_C0007, whole genome shotgun sequence.
GGGAGGAUCGCAUAGUGGUCUAGUGCAGAGGUUUACUAAACCUCCGUGGGGAAACUCACCAAGGGUUCGAAUCCCUUUCCUCCCG